GAGUUUGAUCGUGGCUCAGAUUGAACGCUGGCGGCAUGCCUUACACAUGCAAGUCGAACGGCAGCACGGGAGCUUGCUCCUGGUGGGCGAGUGGCGAACGGGUGAGUAAUGCAUCGGAACGUAUCCUGGAGUGGGGGAUAACGUAGCGAAAGUUACGCUAAUACCGCAUAUUCUGUGAGCAGGGAAAGCGGGGGACCUUCGGGCCUCGCGCUCUUGGAGCGGCCGAUGUCGGAUUAGCUAGUUGGUGAGGUAAAGGCUCGACCAAGGCGACGAUCCGUAGCAGGUCUGAGAGGAUGAUCUGCCACACUGGAACUGAGACACGGUCCAGACUCCUACGGGAGGCAGCAGUGGGGAAUUUUGGACAAUGGGGGCAACCCUGGAUCCAGCCAUGCCGCGUGAGUGAAGAAGGCCUAC
rnacentral:rRNA from 1 species